rnacentral:rRNA from 1 species
AACGAACGCUGGCGGCAGGCUUAACACAUGCAAGUCGAACGCCCCGCAAGGGGAGUGGCAGACGGGUGAGUAACGCGUGGGAAUCUACCCAUCCCUACGGAACAACUCCGGGAAACUGGAGCUAAUACCGUAUACGCCCUUAGGGGGAAAGAUUUAUCGGGGAUGGAUGAGCCCGCGUUGGAUUAGCUAGUUGGUGGGGUAAAGGCCUACCAAGGCGACGAUCCAUAGCUGGUCUGAGAGGAUGAUCAGCCACAUUGGGACUGAGACACGGCCCAAACUCCUACGGGAGGCAGCAGUGGGGAAUAUUGGACAAUGGGCGCAAGCCUGAUCCAGCCAUGCCGCGUGAGUGAUGAAGGCCUUAGGGUUGUAAAGCUCUUUCACCGAUGAAGAUAAUGACGGUAGUCGGAGAAGAAGCCCCGGCUAACUUCGUGCCAGCCGCCGCCGUAA